AACGCUGGCGGCAUGCCUAAUACAUAGCAAGUCGAACGAAGGGCCUUUAGUAAGUGCUUGCACUUAGACAAAGAAUAUCCCCUUAGUGGCGAACGGGUGAGUAACACGUAGGUAACCUACCAUUUAGAUUGGGACAACAGUUGGAAACGACUGCUAAAACCAAAUGACAUUAUCGAUCGCAUGAUUGAUAUUAAAAAUAGCUACGGCUAUGCUAGAUGAUGGACCUGCGGCGUAUUAGCUAGUUGGUAAGGUAAUGGCUUACCAAGGCAACGAUACGUAGCCGACCUGAGAGGGUGAACGGCCACACUGGGACUGAGACACGGCCCAGACUCCUACGGGAGGCAGCAGUAGGGAAUUUUCCACAAUGGGGGCAACCCUGAUGGAGCAAUGCCGCGUGAGAGAAGAAGGCCUUCGGGUUGUAAAUCUCUGUUAUAAGGGAAGAAAGGUGUAGAGAGGGAAUGCUCUAUAUAAGACACUACCUUAUGAGAAAGCCACGGCUAACUACGUG
rnacentral:rRNA from 1 species